UAGGCAACAUAUACAGAGAGACAAGCUAGCCGGUAGCUGCCCACUAUUAACAAUAUCAAUAUUGUUCUUAACUUAGAGCAAGUCUAGCGCGCACUCAAAAUCGGGCAAAAGGUUGCCCUUGCGAGCCCAAACGACCUCCAGCGCGCAACCAACAGCACGGGCAAGGCCUGGGCCCACCAGCCUGGGUAAGCCCAAGGGCAGAUCUUGCCUGGGCUUCAGCCCGAGGGCGCUGAUGUUAG
rnacentral:lncRNA from 1 species